AUAUCAAUAAGCGGAGGAAAAGAAACCAACAGGGAUUGCCUUAGUAACGGCGAGUGAAGCGGCAAAAGCUCAAAUUUGAAAUCUAGCACUUUCAGUGUUCGAGUUGUAAUUUGAAGAAGGUAACUUUGGAAUUGGCUCUUGUCUAUGUUCCUUGGAACAGGACGUCACAGAGGGUGAGAAUCCCGUGCGAUGAGAUGUCCAAUUCUAUGUAAAGUGCUUUCGAAGAGUCGAGUUGUUUGGGAAUGCAGCUCUAAGUGGGUGGUAAAUUCCAUCUAAAGCUAAAUAUUGGCGAGAGACCGAUAGCGAACAAGUACAGUGAUGGAAAGAUGAAAAGAACUUUGAAAAGAGAGUGAAAAAGUACGUGAAAUUGUUGAAAGGGAAGGGCUUGAGAUCAGACUUGGUAUUUUGUGUUCCUUAUUCUUUUUGGAUUUGGUUCCUCACAGCUUACCGGGCCAGCAUCGGUUUGGAUGGUAGGAUAAUGACAUUGGAAUGUAGCUUUGCUUCGGUGAAGUGUUAUAGACUUUGUUGAUACUGCCUAUCUAGACCGAGGACUGCGUCUUUGACUAGGAUGCUGGCGUAAUGAUCUUAAGCCGC
rnacentral:rRNA from 1 species